GAUGAACGCUGGCGGCGUGCCUAAUACAUGCAAGUCGAGCGAACAGAUGAGGAGCUUGCUCCUCUGACGUUAGCGGCGGACGGGUGAGUAACACGUGGAUAACCUACCUAUAAGACUGGGAUAACUUCGGGAAACCGGAGCUAAUACCGGAUAAUAUAUUGAACCGCAUGGUUCAAUAGUGAAAGACGGUUUUGCUGUCACUUAUAGAUGGAUCCGCGCCGCAUUAGCUAGUUGGUAAGGUAACGGCUUACCAAGGCAACGAUGCGUAGCCGACCUGAGAGGGUGAUCGGCCACACUGGAACUGAGACACGGUCCAGACUCCUACGGGAGGCAGCAGUAGGGAAUCUUCCGCAAUGGGCGAAAGCCUGACGGAGCAACGCCGCGUGAGUGAUGAAGGUCUUCGGAUCGUAAAACUCUGUAAUUAGGGAAGAACAAAUGUGUAAGUAACUAUGCACGUCUUGACGGUACCUAAUCAGAAAGCCACGGCUAACUACGUG
rnacentral:rRNA from 1 species